CGUGUGCUGAGCAUGGCACACCACUGCCAGCCCAGGCUCUGUGCAGCUGCUGCCAGCCACGGAGCCCAGGCUGCUCCCAGCAGGCGGCAGGGAGGCUGCAAGCCCUGCCUCCGUGGGCCGGCUGCAGCCGGGAGGCUGCAAACAGCUGCUCCAGGCGCACAGGCACCUUCCAAGGUCUCCCUUGAGGGGUGGCAGACUGCGCUUACUGAUGCCAAUGAACGUGCACGCUCGAUGCUGGAGUCAAAGCGGCCAGAGAUGCCACGCAGGUUUCCUCAGCGGUCAGCCGGUCCCAUCCUGUGGAGCUACAGCCCAGGGAGCACCAAGGACUGCCACAGAUACAGGCCCUCUCUUCCUCUUGUGAAUUGGGAGGUGAAAGUCUAGUCUAUUGAACCCCAAUUCGACGUUCGAUAAAAAUCAAUGUCUCUUGUUUUAUAAAGUCUCAAUGCACAACUGUUUUGUUUUGGUAUAGCGCACACCAUUGAAGGGCAUGACUCUGGGACUGAAAAAAGUUACCAAUCCAUUUUAAACAGUGCUCAUUAACUAUGGCAAUCACCUGUAAACAGGUUUGACUACAUGGGCUAAGCUUUGUGGGCCUCAUUAAGACUGCUUACCUUCUUCAGAGACCUCCUAAAACUGCGUAAUCUUGCAACUGGCAGUUGCUAGUCAGUUCAGACCUGCUUCUGAAGCCUUGAAAUGGAUGGUCCCCAGUUAGUUUUACCACAUAUUCAGUUAUCAGAAAAAUGCUAUGCACUUCAGCAGUUUCUGCCUUUAAUUAAUACACUUGUAACUGGAGUUUGGCACACAUUGGGAAAUGCUUUGUUUUAUGCACUUGUCAAUUAUGCACACAAUGGCUAUCCAGUAAUGAGGUGCUUUGUGGUGCUUGUACAAAGUUUUUGCUUCUAGGAAAUAGCACUGGAUCCCUGGGGCCUAUAGGAGUGGUCCCCAGCCUAUGGCAUGUCUGUAACAUAGUGCCUAUACCACCCUCUCAAGUUGCUUGCAACCACAGAAAGUUAAAAUUUGAAGUAGACAGAACAAAACGUGAUGUUGCCCAUAGCUUGUUAUUUGUUCAAUAGUGGGCAUGUCUACACAUGGAAUUAACGUACCUGAAUAAACUGGAGCUUAUUGCACAUGGGCAUUUGUAUGUGUGCCCAGGACCAAUAAACUCAGGAGCAAUAAACUCUGGAGUUUAUUGGUGCGUAGCACAUUGAGCUGGGUUGAAGCCGCCUUGGCUGGCAGGGGGCCCCCGAGGUAAGCCUGCCAGCCUCAGGCUGCUCCCCCCUGGUUCAACAUGCAGCAAAGGGGCUUGCUGAGGCACGAGUGUGCUUCAGUGCAGGGCUAGCCAGCAGGCAGCCCCCAGACUGAAGCACUCUCAUGCCCCAGCCAGCCCCUCCAGCAUCUACACAUGAGCUGCUGUGGAAUUUUUUUCUGCACAGUAGGAUAGGACUUGUAUUUACUAUCCUGCUAUGGCAUAAAUUAGUUUAGUCCAGCCUAAUAGUGGUGCAUGUGUAGACGCUGAGAUGUUUACUGUGUAGCUAAUUAGUCAACUGUGCAGGAAAUGCACCUUCUGUUGCCUAAAGGCCAGCAAAGGAUGGGGACUACUCUGUCCCACUUCUACCAAUCAGGUUAGUGCUUGAAUUGUACAACAUGAAAUAUGUUUCUGAAUUUCACAACCAAAGCAACCUUUAAAAAAAAGUUAGGGAAGAAAAUUACUGGAUUUUAUAUCCAAGGUAAAUUUUCUUUUACUGAUCAAUUCUGCCAUUCAGGCUCCUAUCCAGAAAUAGAAUUUGUGCAGAUAGGAGGACUGGUAUCAAGACUUAGUGACCAUUUUUACAUUUAAUAGCUGUGAUAUUCUAGUCUAAAGAGUUUUAGAUUCAAACUACCUUCAAGAUUUGCUUUUAUUUUGACAAAUUGAAUGUGUUCUAAACAGACAAAUAAUGUCUCUGAAAUAUCACCAUGAGGAUAACUAAAUUCGUUACUCUUCCUUUCGGGCCUGUGUGCUCUGUCUAUUCUGCUGUAUAUGUUGUAAGUUACUUAAGUACUUCAAUUGGUUUUAGCUCUAAAGGCAGGUGUUAAGCUAAGGUCAGACUACCACAGCUAGCUAUCUCUCUCUACAAUUACUUGAGACACUUAACCCAGGAAGUCCCUUUCCUCUUUUAUGGGAGUUUUUAAAAUUCUGAGGAGAACAUGAAUAAUAAUUAGGCUACUUAUUCCAAUAGGCAACGACUUCUUUAUUCCAGGCUACCUAAAGAAGUUGUGGAAUCUCCAUCCCUGGAAUUUUUCAAGAACAGCCUAGGGCAGUUUAGUCAGGAAUAAUCCUGCCUUGAGCAGGAGGUUGGACCAGAAUCUAGAUGACCUUAUGAGAUACUUUCCAGCCCUACAAUCCUAUGAUCCUAACAUUUAUUCUAGUAUCUAUGCAAGAAUUCAAAGUAGAGGAAUGUUAUAUUAAAAUGGCUGCAAAGACAAAUAUAAUAAAAAUACUGCAAGGGAUAUACGUUUCUUCAGAGCAACAUUCUAAACACGGCAAUAGAUGAAGAUGAAUGUAAGCCUAAUUUAAAGAGUAAAUCAACCAGUAUGAACGAUCAAUAAAACUGAAGAUUUCAGCAUUGGUCUUCAGAACAUGAGAGACUAUUUUUGCAUGUCGAACUUUGGAUGCUUGUGACCUGAUUUCAGCUUUUCAACUACUUUUCGCACCUCUGAAAAUUAGAUUCUGUAGAGAAGAUUGUACUCAUAGUUUUCCAGAAUGUAAUGACAGAAUCUACAUUAUUUGGUUAAAUUUUAUAUAAUAAUUCUGAACCUAAAACAACAUUUUUAUUUUCUUGUUUUCAUUAAUAAUAUAUCUCAAGAUUACAAUAUCAGAAGUUUAUGGAAACAUCUUCCAGGACCUCGCUUCAUAUUUAAUUGCUCAAGACCAGUUUAUUAUAAAAGAAAUGUUGUUCUGUAUAGAAUUUUUAUGGUUUCAGAGGAUCAGUCCUGAGCCUAAUGGGCGUCUGUGUGCAUGCUCUUUUAAUGAUCCCCACUUGGUGAGAUACCAGCAGAACCAAGUUAAUUGUUGGUGCUGUACACAGAUGCCUGCCUCUCUCUGUGCCAGCCUCUUAUUGAUGUUUUCUGUUCUUUCAUCAUGCAUUUUGAAAUCGAAUUUGGAAAAGACUGACAUACGGUUGAUAACUCCAUAUAUUUGCUAGCUAAUCACUUCCUCCUUCAUAUAAGCAUUAAUGAUGCAACCAGAUUUUUCUUUCAGAAUGGGGAAUCAAAAAGUGAUUAUAGAUCAUUCAUUUGACUCUUAACAGUCAAUCAGUGAUUUAAUCCUCUUUUUGUUUUUGUGCAGCCUGACUGAAACUGUUCUCUCUCUCUCUCUCUCUCUCUCUAAUGCUCAUUAAAUGUUCAUCAUCUACCCUAGUAAUGUUACAUCUUUAUAAUGAGCUUCCUAGCGCAUACUCAGAAGCAAUAGGGCCUGAUUCUCAUGCCCCUUUAUACUGCCAGACUGGUUUAAAAGGGCAUAGAGUAUAAAUGAGAAUCAACAUGAUACAAUAAAAAGUGGAGUGUUAUAUAGUGCUUUCAGUACAUACUCAAAAUGUUAUUGAUCAUAUCAGUAGUUAAUCACUAAAUAUAUAUUAGUUUCAACCAUAUCUCCUUUAACUACUAAUGUUCCAUAGGUUUCCAUAUUCCAAAAUCACAUUUCACUUAUAUCAGGCAAGAGAUUAAUGUGUGCAGCAAAAUUCUGCAAUAGUACAACUAUUCUAACAUGUACCUUCUAAGCGUUUACUGACAUCCUCCCACUAAUUGAUAACUUAAAAUCUGUUGGGACAUUUUUCUGAGCAGCAAUAUUAAACCACAGUGUGCCAACAAUAAUACUCAGUUAUUGAGUAUACUAUUUUAUAUAUAUAUAUAUAAAUAUUAUAAGAUUUACUUAAAGAAAAGCAAAAUAAUAUUGACCUUCACCCUACUCCAGUUAUCUGACUCCUUUAUGGGACAGAGUGAACCGACUGGGUCAAAGUCACACAGCUAAUCAGUCACAGAAAUUAAUAUUAACAACGUAUCCUACCCCUAGUCCCACUUUUAACCACUGGACCAAGCUGCAUUUCCACCAGAGCUCUGCACCCUGGACAUGGGUGAUUCAAGAGCCAGCUACAGUAGCCAUUUUUGUGACCUGUCCUCCCAAAGAUUGUGCCCAAUGCCCUAGUUGCUUCCCCCUUCCCCACAAUUAUGCUAGAGAUAUCCAUCAUGUUGAAGGGUCUGAAUUUGGAAAUGUCUUAAAGAAUGGCUAUUUGGUGGCCAUAAGUCUUAAGACUACAGACCUUAGAAAACUGAAUAUCCACAGACUUUAGAAAACCACUGUCUUGCCUUAGAAGACAAAAUUUAAAACAAUUUUAUAAAGGUUUUUUUUUUAAUUGAACAAGAGAGGUUUGAUUUCUUUGAGGAUAUUAUCUUCUAGGUUUUCCAUCACCUUUAGCUGGUUUUGGAUGACAGUUUUAAAGAGCACAGUUAUUUGGAGAAGGUUUUAUUUUCUAGUUGUAACUGAAAUCUUUACUGGUAGGUACAAAUUAGUGCUAUGCAGACCCAAGGAAGAGCUGCAAGCAAAAGCAGCUUCAUGAGCUCCGUAAUGUCCUUAAGCAUCCAAUACUGCAGGUGGGAAAGUGGCACAGUUCAGGGGCAUGCUAGCCCUGUCCCUAUUCUUCUGGUUACAUCCUGAAUGUCACAAUGUGAUUGUACCUUAUACUGUCUCCCAUUUUCCCUCAUUCUACAUCAGACUGUAUUGUGUUCCAUUUCCUCAUCUUCUGCAUUGUAUGCUUCAGUGGCCCUAACUUUGGAAUUUAGAAACCAUAUGCAAAUAUGUAAAAAAGCUUAUGAGUAUGGAAGACACUGGAAUUUAUAAAAAUUCUAAAAUAAAACCUAUACACUGGCAUCAAUGAGGUGGCCCUUUGGCCAUGUCCACACAAGUGUGGACAUUUGGUUCUCUGGGGACAACUAACAGCAGGACACUUUGUGCUGCCACUAGUUGUCCCCAGGGAAUGCCCGUAUCACAUGCCCUCUGGCGUGUGGUAGGUUACCCCGCAUGGGGUAGGGGAGACUGGGGCCAGCACUGGGGCUUCCUGGGGCUGCAGUAGUGGUAAUCCUGUCGCUCAGAGCCUAGCUGGAAGAUGGAGUGUGGCUCCAGCCAGCCAGGCUGCACUCUUGAGUGGCAUGCACUGUCCCCAUGUGCACCGCUCCACUUUUUUGUGUGUGCAGGUUUUACAACUCCUGGAUAUCAUGUCUGCAGCACCACUGCACAGUUGCGCUCAUCUGGAUGCAGACCUUAUGUCCAAAAGGGCUAAAUAUACAAAGAGAAUGGCCAUCGACUACAUUAGGUCUGUCUCUGCAUUUCCUCUUUUGAUUGUUGUGCUGUUAUCAUUUUUGUAAUAAAUCUUAGCACUUUUCCAUGUUUUGUGGCAGACUUCCCUUCAUGUAGGUAAUCAUUAUAGAGGGAAUGGCUGAUUUAAAAAAAAAAAAAAAAUGGCUGGUGAGCCUUUUGGGCUUUCUGGGAUGCUCCUGACUUUAACCCCCCUCCCCACCUCCCUCUGGAUUCAGUGGCUGAAACCUUAUUGUACAUACCUUUUUCUGAGGCAUAUAAAUCCACGUAGGACAUUCUUGAAGUUCUCUUUGGAAUGAAAACCAGAGUGUGGUAUGUUUAUCUUGUUGAGAGGAAGUUCUGCUUUUUUCUGAUGAAACUUCCUUUUUAGGGAACAUCUGCUCUCUUUUGCCCUCCUCCACUGGCACAAAAGUGCCUGCAUGUGUGAUUCACUUGCUCCCAAAUCAACAUGCAGGAAACCUAUGGCUGGUUACUCACUCUGUCCCUUUACGGACAACUACUAAAAUUUACCCUGAAAAGUCAAAAGCAUUGUAUUUAUCUAGUUGUCUUCUUUGAAGGUCAUCCUUGUGUAAUUCUUAAAAUGAGAGAUCAGUUUACAGACAGAUGUUCUUCAGCUCAGAUCAGCAGCUUGACCUAGGCUUUUCUCUCUCUCUCUCUCUCUCUCUCUCUCUCACACACACUUUAAUGCCUUCAGAGCUUUCACAAGAGGUGAAGUACACUAUGCCUUCACUCAAGUGACUUAGCUUCACUCAAAUAAGAAAGGCCGGUGCAAGGCCCAGCACAUUACUUAUGUUCCACAUAAAGGGCUUAGGUGAUACAAUAGAGCCUUACUAUGGUUAAUUUUAAAUGGUUAUUUGUAAUCUUUUUUGCUGUAUUAUUCCAUUGGCAGGCCCCCAAUGGAGAAUGCCUAUUCUUUGUGCUGCAUAUUUCAUCCUGGUCACUGCCACUGGGUGGAAAACAGUCUUGAUAGGAAAUAAAUAGAUCUGAGAUAGCUAUUUAGGUGUCUGUAUCGGAAACAGAAGGCCUUAGUCAGACCGGGAUCUGGCACCAGCAGUGACUUAGUGACUAACAACGCUGAGCAUGGACUUUUUAUCUUCAAGGACACAGGAUGCUGUAUUCUGUACCAGCUAAGUUUCUUUGGCUAGAUACAGACUUUACACCUAUCUUGCUUUAGGGAGGCAGAAUGAACUCUAAGUUAACCCUCAGUGGAUGAGGUGUAUUAGACUAAAGUGCUUUCUGUUACAGCACUUUUUCAAACGUCUGUGCCAGAUCCCAUCGAGGCUUAACAGAGAGUGUGACCAAGGCCAUCCCAGGAGGCGUUAUACAGGGCUGUACUUUAGACUCAGGCAGAACUCCUGUACUCUGCCCAAGUGCUGGGUUGGCCCUGCCCCCUUGGCUGUCACUGACGCAGAGGGGGCUGGGAAGAGGGGCCACUCCAGCAGUCUCCUGGGAGAUUACAGAAGGGUACCUAGCAGUCAAUGAGGGCAGGCUCCGAGCCCUUCCACUGUAUUUUUGGUUAGCUCAUGCUUUAACUUGUAGCACUUUUAAGUAAAGUGCUAUAGAGUGCUUAUGCCAGGGGCUCUGUGAACAUCUUGCCUUUGCUACCUUCACAUUCAGUAUGGAUAUUAGCAAGUUACAGCACACCAGGCUGGAAAUGAUGAAUGCCUGGCUAAUUAUCAGGAAGAAUAGGUGUUGUCUCUUGGGAAACGGGGGGUGAAGAGAAGGUAUUUUCUAGCCACUUGCUACCUAGGUAUUUGGGUUUGAAAGACUGUAAAGUUUGAUAAAUAAAGGGCUGAAAACAAACCAGACUGAAAAGAAACAGAACAACCGCUUACUUCAGUUUAUUAAACAAAAAGGCCCCCAAAUCAGAUUUUUUGUAACUGGGUUUAACCCAGCAAGUGAAAGUCAUUCUGCUUGCUUGCACUCAUUCUGCAUUUAACUCAAAAUGUAAGUAAAAUUCAGUUGUUCAAAUUAUAUUAACAAAUCUAGUAUACCGACUAUAUUGUUUCUGCCUUCUUCAAAUAAAGUAACAAGUUACAUGC